CAAUACAAAUAUUAUCCCAUACUUUUACACAAUAAAAUCCAUUACAUUUAAAGAAGAAAGCAACACAGACCUCUUUAGCUAGCCAGUUGUCCCCUGAAGAAAUCCUCAGCCUGUGAAUCAUAAAGCAAACGACAGGUCUCCCACAUCCCACAUAUUUCUAAACAUUUCGCUUUCCAAUCACAUCAGCCAAUUUCAUUCUUUAAUGGAUUCACUCACAAUUGGUAGGACUUCCUCCUAG